ACAGGACUAGAGUGGAUCCCCAUAAAAUGAGUGAAGCCAUAAUAUGAGUUAGAGACUACUGAAAAAGCCCCUCCUGAUGAUGAAGGACCUGUCAUUGGAGAAUCGACCAAAACUGACAGUGAUAACUUGGAAGGCACCUGACAUUACCUGGGGACAGCUAAAGAAACUGGACCAACAGGGAACUAUCUGGCUUGCAUCUAUGGGAGCCCCUGAAACUGCAGAGAACCAGUUUCUUAUGUAUCUGAUGGUAAUUGGGGGAGCUUCUGAGAAGGCAUCUGCAAAUGGCUCUGUGCUGCCACUCAACCAACUAUGACCAGGGAAGAAUGAUAGAAGCUUACUUUGCAUUGGAUAAUCCGCAUGUUCUAAGAAUUAAAGAAGGGGGAAAUGUGAGGGGUGUAUGACAAUACAUUCAAGCUUAUGUACAAGGCAUUUGAGGUUGAGGCAUGGAAAAAUACUGAGGCACUGUGUGUAUGUUGUUUGUGCAUGAAACUGUAAUUCCUUGACCCUGAAAAUAGGACAAGGAAUAGAAUUUGUAAUAAGGAGUGCUGAACACAGCCUCCUAAGAAUGUGGUUUGAGUGCUUUUAGAUGUUAUAAACAAGGCCAUAUGUGCCUCAUGACCCGACCCCAAAUAGCCACCUUGUAGAUGUUUCUUGUUUGUCUAAAUUGUAGUUCAACUAGCCUUCUCAAUAAAUACUUGGCAGAUGAAUCUUAAAGCAGCACUGUCUUGGAGGAGCUGCUCCCCUCCCUUUCAGCUGUAAUUGUCUGAAUACUUAUUUCUUGGUGUUCACUGCAGAGCAAGCUGCAGCACAGCUGCCGGCAUUUAUUCAUGCAAGAUUCCAGCUUGCUUAUCUAUGUCUGCAGCUCAAUUUUACAGGCUGCUCUUUGUU
rnacentral:lncRNA from 1 species